rnacentral:rRNA from 1 species
CCAGUGUGACUCGUCACACUAUCAUUAACUGAAUCCAUAGGUUAAUGAGGCGAACCGGGGGAACUGAAACAUCUAAGUACCCCGAGGAAAAGAAAUCAACCGAGAUUCCCCCAGUAGCGGCGAGCGAACGGGGAGGAGCCCAGAGCCUGAAUCAGCAUGUGUGUUAGUGGAAGCGUCUGGAAAGGCGCGCGAUACAGGGUGACAGCCCCGUACACAAAAGCGCAUGUGCUGUGAGCUCGAUGAGUAGGGCGGGACACGUGGUAUCCUGUCUGAAUAUGGGGGGACCAUCCUCCAAGGCUAAAUACUCCUGACUGACCGAUAGUGAACCAGUACCGUGAGGGAAAGGCGAAAAGAACCCCGGCGAGGGGAGUGAAAAAGAACCUGAAACCGUGUACGUACAAGCAGUGGGAGCAC